UACGCAGGGCGCAAGCGUUGUCCGGAAUUAUUGGGCGUAAAGAGCUCGUAGGCGGCCAGUUGCGUCCGCUGUGAAAUCCCGGGGCUUAACCCCGGGCGUGCAGUGGAUACGGGCUGGCUAGAGGCAGGCAGGGGAGAACGGAAUUCCCGGUGUGAGCGGUGAAAUGACGCAGAUAUCGGGAGGAACACCGGUGGCGAAGGCGGUUCUCUGGGCCUGUACUGACGCUGAGGAGCGAAAGCGUGGGGAGCAAACAGG
rnacentral:rRNA from 1 species